UACGGAGGGUGCAAGCGUUAUCCGGAUUACUGGGUUUAAAGGGUGUGUAGGCGGGCUAUUAAGUCAGUGGUGAAAUCUCCGGGCUCAACCCGGAAACUGCCAUUGAUACUAUUAGUCUUGAAUUUUGUUGAGGUAGGCGGAAUAAGUCAUGUAGCGGUGAAAUGCAUAGAUAUGACUUAGAACACCAAUUGCGAAGGCAGCUACUAAGCAAAUAUUGACGCUGAGGCACGAAAAGCGUGGGGAGU
rnacentral:rRNA from 1 species